rnacentral:rRNA from 1 species
GGCCUAUCAGCUUGUUGGUGGGGUAAUGGCCUACCAAGGCGUCGACGGGUAGCCGGCCUGAGAGGGUGGACGGCCACAUUGGGACUGAGACACGGCCCAGACUCCUACGGGAGGCAGCAGUGGGGAAUAUUGCACAAUGGGCGCAAGCCUGAUGCAGCGACGCCGCGUGGGGGAUGAAGGCCUUCGGGUUGUAAACUCCUUUCAGCCAUGACGAAGCUGGCCUUGUUGGGUCAGUGACGGUAGUGGUAGAAGAAGCGCCGGCUAACUACGUGCCAGCAGCCGCGGUAAUACGUAGGGCGCGAGCGUUGUCCGGAAUUAUUGGGCGUGAAGGGCUUGUAGGCGGCCGGUCGCGUCCGCCGUGAAAUUCUCCGGCUCAACCGGGGGCUUGCGGUGGGUACGGGCCGGCUGGAGUGCGGUAGGGGAGGCUGGAACUCCUGGUGUAGCGGUGGAAUGCGCAGAUAUCAGGAGGAACACCGAUGGCGAAGGCAGAUCUCUGGGCCGUAACUGACGCUGAGGAGCGAAAGCGUGGGGAGCGAACAGGAUUAGAUACCCUGGUAGUCCACGCCGUAAACGUUGGGCGCUAGAUGUAGGGACCUUUCCACGGUUUCUGUGUCGUAGCUAACGCAUUAAGCGCCCCGCCUGGGGAGUACGG